AGUUCAUUCCGUAGCGGUAACUCUGACCGUGCUAAGGUAGCAUAAUCACUCGCCGCUUAAUUGGCGGAUGGCAUGAAAGGUUGAACGAGCUUCCCACUGUCUCAGCGCUAGACCCAAUGAAAUUGAAUUAACCGUUAAGAUGCGGCUUGAACUUGGAAAGACGAGAAGACCCCGUGAGCUUUACUCUAAAUUACCUUAAUAUGAGUUCGUCUAGGUAAUGAAAGAGUUUGGUUGGGGCGACCUCCCAAAAUCAGGAACUUGGGAAAACCAAGGUGUUAUCAAUAUAAAAAGCUUGACGAGUAGGACCACUUUCCAGCUCGAUAGGAAACUAAGUUAUAGGGACCCACCUCUUUAUGGAGGUGUACAUGAAUAAAAGUUACCACGGGGAAAACAGGGUAAUUCCGCCCUAGAGUUCUUAUCGAAGGCGGAGUUGGGCGCCUCGAUGUUGAAUAGUAGCAUCCUGGGGGUGCAGCAGCUCCC
rnacentral:rRNA from 1 species